UUUUUUUUUUUUAAUAUAAAUUAAAGAACAAAUAAAUAAAACAUAUUCUAGUCUACCUACAAAUUAUAGGAUUUCUACGUUUUGAGAUGAUUGUGCCGACACACUUUUGGUCUUAUAUAUGUGUCUCUCAUUAUUUUAAAGUUAUUUUUUUUUUGUUUUUAAUAGAGCGAUCACUAGUGAAAGGUUUUUAUACAAGCCACGUUUAUCAUGUACAUAAUUUUUUUAAGAUUAAUAUUUUAAUUACGUUGUUUAGUCAAAAACUGGCUAUAUAAAGAUUAUCAUCAUGAUGAUAAGAUUGAAUCAAAGACGUGGACAAGCAUAAACAUAACUAAAAAU
rnacentral:lncRNA from 1 species